rnacentral:rRNA from 1 species
UACGAGGGGGGCGAGCGUUGUUCGGAAUUAUUGGGCGUAAAGGGUGCGUAGGCGGUUCCGCAAGUCCUGUGUGAAAUCUUCGGGCUCAACUCGAAGUCUGCACGGGAAACUGCGGGGCUUGAGUGUGGGGAGAGGUGAGUAGGUCGAAUUCCCGGUGUAGGCGGUAGAAAUGCGUAGAUAGUCGGGAGGAACACCUGUGGCGAAAGCGGCUCACUGGACCAUAACUGACGCUGAUGCACGAAAGCUGGGGGAGCAAACAGG